CUCCAGCUUGCCCACAAUGACGCGAUAACCCUCUGGCGUAGCGGCUGGCAAUGGAACUAUGGACCUGCAAAUGAUAACUAGACUUUCAACUCAAAAAUUAAUCGAGCUGCUAUUUUGUGUUAGUUUCCGAGCUGUGAGCACAAGCCUUAGCUACCCCAUAUGCAAUGCGGGUGCAGGUAUCAGAUAUGUCGGCACAACGAAAGCCCAGCCGAUUCGACUGUAACGUACCGGGAAUGGGAAUGGCGGGCAUUGAGACCGAGACAAAGGGAAGAGCCCAGCGAGCGAGUGAUAAAGCGACCUUUUAGGGGAGCCUAUGAGGAUCACAAAAGACGUUGAAGAAACGCGAGGCGAAACGAAGAAGAGGCAAAAAGCAUUAACGCAUUUUGAAAUAAUUGAAACGGCAGUCAGGACGAAAGUCAGCCGCAGACUCGAAGUCAUAGUCAGAGUCAGAGUCGGAGUCGGGAGAACGGAGACGGGACUCAGGGUCUGUUGUGGCAUGGCAAACAAAGGGCAUGGCCAGCGUUUGUUUGUGCGCAGCGGUGCGUCGCCGAAAUCCUUGAGACGUGCAGCAGAUACACCUGAUGAUGACUACACCGACACCUGAGCCAUUGCCAGCCAGCUAACCUCAGCGUGCCUCGAGAGGCACACUGGAAAAGAAAUGAUAAUUAGAUGGUCUAGCAACCCUCCUAGCCAGCUGCUGAGACAGCUGCGCCAGCAGAGGGGAAGCGAACACUUGACAGCAGAAACAAAGUGCAGAAGGACCAGAAAACCAGAACUGAAAUGCGAUUGUCGCAAUCCCUAUCGUGGGAGGGGGGGUGCUGGGGGUCUUAAGGCAGCGACAGCAGGGGUAUGUCGGCAUGGCGACUGGCAAUUAUGAGUCCAAUGCCGGAUGGUGAAAUUAUAUUGUACAAAAAUUGGGAGCAGAAGAGAAAGCAUUAAGGAAACAAAACGCAGCGAGAGACCCGCUCAAGAUUUAAGUGGUGCCCCACAGUCAGGAGCCAGUCGCCAAGUGUUGAAGGCGAGUGAGUGGCAUGCAUAAAGGAAACUGACAAUUGAUACAUUCAUAAAACUACAUAACUACACACACACACACACACACAUCCACAGGGAAAGAGAGAGAGAGCGAGAUAUGUGCAUAUUAAUUUAAAUGAAGAAAAAGUGGAAAUUAUCCGCUUGAUAGAUGCCAGGCAAUUAAGAAGGAAGAAAGGGAAGCUGAAUUGAACAAAUGUGCCCAUCAAUUCACUUUCCCAUUCAAAGGACCCGCACAAUCGCACUAAUAAACAUACAAAACCAAAAGGAACCACAUUUAUGGACCUGUUUGCUCCAACUUGAAGCGCGCCAAGUUUUUAUCCAGAUCUGUCAAGUAGUUUCAUUUGAACUCGAAACUGUACACGAAAACCCAAAAAGGAGAACACGGUCCACACACAAAAAGUAACGUACAAAAGGUAAGUGCGGCAAUCUGUGAUGGUGGCGAGGACGAAAGGAUUGCGCAAAGGCAAACACAUAAAAUUGGAUAAACAAGGCUUCGUCAUGGUAUGCCUGAGUGUGCGAGUGUGCCAGUGUGUUUGUGUGUGUGUGUGUGUGUGUGUGUGUGGUGUGUGUGUUUGCUCACAAGUAUCCCUUUUUUCGUGGGAGCCGCGUUGCAACAGGCAACGACCAGGCAACAGGUAGAGGAGACCACAAACUGGUUUCGCCAGAUUCCAAGUCCAUGCGGCAAAGGAGCGGCCCGACUUUCUGGCUAUGCCCGAGACGGGAACUGGGCUGAGACUGGGACUGAGACUGGGACUGGCAACUGGCAACUGGUGACUGCUGACUGGCGACCGGCGACCGGCGACUGUGAGUGGCAUACAAAGCAGAACCAGUUUGAUCCUCUGGCCUGCCGAUGAGUUGGCGUAAAAGCAAUUUUAAUGUCCUUCUACCCAAGUCCAUAAAGUCUUGAAUAAUCGCCCAAGACGUGUGUACGUGCGUGGAGGAUAUGCGCAACAGAGUCCCAGUGCCAGAGUCAAGGUCCAGGCCCCCACGCUGCCUGGCCCCCUGCCACUGCACCGAUCCCCCGACCCCUGCUCCUGGCUGCUGCUAGUGGUGGUAGCCGAUUUGUUUGCUGUGCCGCGCACUUGGUCUGCCUGGCUUUGUUCACUUGACUCUCUCUCUCUCUCCCGCUCUCUCUCUUUCUAUCUCCUCCCCCUUCCCUGUGUCUCUCUCUCUCUCUCUCUCUCUGUUUGGCUACAGACUGAGACUUGUUGCAGGGCACGUCCCUUGCCACGAUCCUUUACACUGACAGCGUUUGUGGUGCUGACUGUACCUCCACUGCAAACUGGAGCUAGGCUCCAGCCAGUCAAGUGCGCUACCUUUCUAUUUGUGCUAGA